rnacentral:rRNA from 1 species
CAGCCGCCGCGGUAAUACGGAGGGAGCUAGCGUCGUUCGGAAUUACUGGGCGUAAAGCGCACGUAGGCGGCUUUGUAAGUCAGAGGUGAAAGCCUGGAGCUCAACUCCAGAACUGCCUUUGAGACUGCAUCGCUUGAAUCCAGGAGAGGUGAGUGGAAUUCCGAGUGUAGAGGUGAAAUUCGUGGAUAUUCGGAAGAACACCAGUGGCGAAGGCGGCUCACUGGACGACUGUUGACGCUGAGGUGCGAAAGCGUGGGGAGCAAACAGGAUUAGAUACCCCAGUAGUCCCUGUCUCUUAUAC